rnacentral:tRNA from 1 species
UCGCGCGUGCCGAGCGGAUGCGUCGACAGAUCGCUCCCGUCUGCGAUGAGGCGCCCCUCAUCGGCCCGUUCGAGACCGGCGAGCAGAC